UCCCUGGUGGUUCUGUGGUUAAGACUCCAUACUCUCAAUGCGGGGGGUCUGGGUUCAAUCCCCAGUCAGGGAG
rnacentral:tRNA from 1 species